rnacentral:rRNA from 1 species
GACGAACGCUGGCGGCGUGCUUAACACAUGCAAGUCGAACGGAAAGGCCUGCUUUCCCUUGUGGAUUGCGGGUACUCGAGUGGCGAACGGGUGAGUGACACGUGAGUGAUCUGCCCCCAACUUGGGUAUAAGCCUGGGAAACUGGGUCUAAUUCCCGAUAGGACUGCAGGGUGGUGCCUGUGGUGGAAAACGAUUUUCUAGUGGUUGGGGAUGAGCUCGCGGCCUAUCAGCUUGUUGGUGGGGUAAUGGCCUACCAAGGCGGCGACGGGUAGCCGGCCUGGGAGGGUGGACGGCCACAGUGGGACUGAGAUACGGCCCAGACUCCUACGGGAGGCAGCAGUGGGGAAUAUUGCACAAUGGGCGGAAGCCUGAUGCAGCGACGCCGCGUGGGGGAUGACGGCCUUCGGGUUGUAAACUCCUUUCGGCCGCGAGGAAGCCACCUGGUUGGAAGGGUGGUGACGGUAGUGGUAGAAGAAGCACCGGCUAACUACGUG